rnacentral:lncRNA from 1 species
AUGGCUUCAAGAAGUUUGUUUUGCCUUUUACUUUCCCGGUGUCUUCUCUUCCUCCAAAGCCAGAUCCACGAUGUGGCAUUCCUGUUCCACCUGGCUCUUCUGCGCUCCCAAGGACCCACUCCCAGAGCCUGCGGAAGCACAAGAUUGAACUGCUGCUGUUUGUCGGAAGGAGGCAGAGAAGAACUAGGCAUAUCUCCACAGGGAAAGAGUAGGCACUGGGUAAGGACCUGCUGUGUCUUGGGCUCAGCUCUGAGGGCAACCCUAGUUGAACUGUAUUCUGACUGGAAGAGAUACACAAGCUCCUCUUCACACUUUACCUGCUCCCCCACCAUGCUGAUGCAAAUCAGGAGCGGUCAACAAAGACUCCCAAGGGUUCCCCUUUGGGCCACCCUGCCCAGGGUCUGGGAUUAGAAUUAGAAGUCCCAGCAAAGUUGUUCCUGUCUUCUGACAACUCAAAAGAGCUACUGCCACAUCUUGCCAAUGUAACUUUGCUUUUUCUGCAGGGAUUGAAUCAUUCUUAGAGUAUUUUGCUGUUUUGCAGAGUCUACUAAAUAUAAAACCAUAUCAGAAUGAAACUGUGUAUCUAUAUCUACAUAUGGAGAUACAAGUGUAGAUAGAUACAUAGAUGUAUGUUAUAUAUUAUUAGUUAUUAUUCCUAAUAAUUCAAAAUUAUUAACUACUAUCNAAUGUGUGUUAUAUAUUAUUAGUUAUUAUUCCUAAUAAUUCAAAAUUAUUAACUACUAUCUAUAAUAGAGAGAUAUAGUUAUACACUAUAUAACCUAUAUAUCUAUGUAACAAUAUAUAGAUACAGAGAGACGAAUAUAUAGAAAUAG